rnacentral:lncRNA from 1 species
AAGAAGCCUCGGUGGGGGCUUUAGCCUGAUAUCUGUGUACUAGUACAGCUCUGCUUGGGCUAGUUAACUAGUUAUAAGGUAUUCAAGGUUAGCAUGAAUGAUGUUCCUUUGAGAUGGUAAAGCAGUGAUGCUGGCCUGUUUGGGCAGCAUUGACAGUGCCUCUCCAAUAAAACUACUUUGAUGUCAUCUAACAACUCAUUUAUUUGCUCCCACAUAAGGGGAUGGUGAUGAGGCCAAUUAUUUUUAUAUGAAAUGCCUAAUAAUUAAGCAAACUGUAGCUGUUUGUAGGGUGCUGACAAUGCUUGUACUUGAUUGAGAAAGGCUGGUAAAGCUUAGUAAAACAGAGCACCUGCCCUAGCAGGAAGAGUACCCCUGCCUUGACUCAUCUGGCAGGAGCUGAGCUCUUGUCUCACCUUAACCCUAACCCUUUCCCAGACUACAAGCUAUUAGCUGCUUUUGUGACCUUGGUUUGGCACUAACAAAGCUGCUAGAUUAUUCAUAAGCAAGAAGAUCAGAUGAGUUGUGUGAAUUCUAACAGCUGAUCUGAAAAUGCUACAGCUUUUUAAGCUCUGUAAGGAUGGGAGGGUUAUCUUAAGAGGCCUGUCAGUGUAGAUUACUGUCUGUGUUACAGUGAUGCUUGAAUGCCUCUAACAAGGUAUUCCUGUGCUGAGCUGAGUGAGACACCCUCCACGUAUUGCAGAUAUUGCCAUGCAAACAGUCGAGAUAACUUCUUACCCUAUCUUGGAGGUGAGGGGAGCUGCAGAGGCACUAAGUCUGGAGAGGCUUUACAGCCGGCUGGGUAACGCUUGCCUUCCAGUGACAGCGUGGCCAGCUGCCAAUUUAUUUAUCCAGCGUGUAUGUGGUGCUUAUCUUCAGUUUGGGAUGAGGUCCUGGUACCCUGAGGAGCUCACCUAUGUUAAAGAUGACCAUGUGCUGCAGGACUUUGGGACUGAAUUUCUCAGCUCCGCAGUGUCACGACAGAACACGUCAGCACCAAGGUACUGUGCAGCCUGACUCUCUGAACUGCAUCACCCAUUUGUCACUGAAUCCCUCUGUACCAACACUUAGAGCUGAAGUUUAACACGCUGACCUCCAGUUGAUCUCAAGAAUGAUAUUAUCCUAUCCAUUUCCUAGAAAAUUACAGUUCUUUGCAGAAAUGCAUUAAACUAUCAGGUCUUGCUUAUUAGGGAUUUCUCAUAGGGCUUUUAACUCCAAAUGAGCUUUGAGACCAACUAAAUCUCUGAAGCUGUAGUUUCCCUCACUGCUAGAAAUAAAAAGUGUAUCUUUGCUAUAACGAGAGAACA